GCCUUGUGGUUCAGGACAACAUUGGGAAACCGAUGCUAAUACUGGAUAAGCCCUUACGGGGAAAGUUUUAAUGCCAUAAGAUGAGCCCGCAUUUGAUUAGUUAGUUGGUGAGGUAAUGGCUCACCAAGACAAUGAUCAAUAGCUGAUCUGAGAGGAUGAUCAGCCACACUGGGACUGAGACACGGCCCAGACUCCUACGGGAGGCAGCAGUGGGGAAUCUUGCACAAUGGAGGAAACUCUGAUGCAGCGAUGCCGCGUGAGUGAAGAAGGCCUUUGGGUUGUAAAGCUCUUUUGUAGGGGAAGAUAAUGACUGUACCCUAAGAAUAAGGUCCGGCUAACUUCGUGCCAGCAGCCGCGGUAAUACGAAGGGACCUAGCGUAGUUCGGAAUUACUGGGCGUAAAGCGCGCGUAGGCCGUUGAGUUAGUUAAUUGUGAAAUCCCAAAGCUUAACUUUGGAACUGCAAUUAAAACUGCUCGACUAGAGUUUGAUAGAGGAAAGCGGAAUACAUAGUGUAGAGGUGAAAUUCGUAGAUAUUAUGUAGAACACCAGUUGCGAAGGCGGCUUUCUGGAUCAACACUGACGCUGAGGCGCGAAAGUAUGGGUAGCAAAGAGGAUUAGAUACCCUCGUAGUCCAUACCAUAAACGAUGAUAGCUAGAUGUUGGAAAUUUAUUUUCAGUAUCGCAGCUAACGCAUUAAGCAAUCCGCCUGGGGAGUACGACCGCAAGGUUAAAACUCAAAUGAAUUGACGGGGACCCGCACAAGCGGUGG
rnacentral:rRNA from 1 species